UUAAGCGACUAAGCGUACACGGUGGAUGCCCUGGCAGUCAGAGGCGAUGAAGGACGUGCUAAUCUGCGAAAAGCGUCGGUAAGGUGAUAUGAACCGUUAUAACCGGCGAUGUCCGAAUGGGGAAACCCAGUGCAAUUCGUUGCACUAUCGUUAACUGAAUACAUAGGUUAACGAGGCGAACCGGGGGAACUGAAACAUCUAAGUACCCCGAGGAAAAGAAAUCAACCGAGAUUCCCCCAGUAGCGGCGAGCGAACGGGGAGCAGCCCAGAGUCUGAAUCAGCUUGUGUGUUAGUGGAACGGUCUGGAAAGUCCGACGGUACAGGGUGAUAGUCCCGUACACCAAAAUGCACAGGCUGUGAACUCGAAGAGUAGGGCGGGACACGUGGUAUCCUGUCUGAAUAUGGGGGGACCAUCCUCCAAGGCUAAAUACUCCUGACUGACCGAUAGUGAACCAGUACCGUGAGGGAAAGGCGAAAAGAACCCCGGCGAGGGGAGUGAAAAAGAACCUGAAACCGUGUACGUACAAGCAGUGGGAGCACCUUCGGGUGUGACUGCGUACCUUUUGUAUAAUGGGUCAGCGACUUAUAUUCUGUAGCAAGGUUAACCGUAUAGGGGAGCCGCAGGGAAACCGAGUCUUAACUGGGCGUUAAGUUGCAGGGUAUAGACCCGAAACCCGGUGAUCUAGCCAUGGGCAGGUUGAAGGUUGGGUAACACUAACUGGAGGACCGAACCGACUAAUGUUGAAAAAUUAGCGGAUGACUUGUGGCUGGGGGUGAAAGGCCAAUCAAACCGGGAGAUAGCUGGUUCUCCCCGAAAGCUAUUUAGGUAGCGCCUCGUGAAUUCAUCUUCGGGGGUAGAGCACUGUUUCGGCUAGGGGGUCAUCCCGACUUACCAACCCGAUGCAAACUACGAAUACCGAAGAAUGUUAUCACGGGAGACACACGGCGGGUGCUAACGUCCGUCGUGAAGAGGGAAACAACCCAGACCGCCAGCUAAGGUCCCAAAGUCAUGGUUAAGUGGGAAACGAUGUGGGAAGGCACAGACAGCCAGGAUGUUGGCUUAGAAGCAGCCAUCAUUUAAAGAAAGCGUAAUAGCUCACUGGUCGAGUCGGCCUGCGCGGAAGAUGUAACGGGGCUAAACCAUGCACCGAAGCUGCGGCAGCGACACUAUGUGUUGUUGGGUAGGGGAGCGUUCUGUAAGCCUGCGAAGGUGACCUGUGAGGGUUGCUGGAGGUAUCAGAAGUGCGAAUGCUGACAUAAGUAACGAUAAAGCGGGUGAAAAGCCCGCUCGCCGGAAGACCAAGGGUUCCUGUCCAACGUUAAUCGGGGCAGGGUGAGUCGACCCCUAAGGCGAGGCCGAAAGGCGUAGUCGAUGGGAAACAGGUUAAUAUUCCUGUACUUGGUGUUACUGCGAAGGGGGGACGGAGAAGGCUAUGUUAGCCGGGCGACGGUUGUCCCGGUUUAAGCAUGUAGGCUGGUUGUCCAGGCAAAUCCGGAUAAUCAAGGCUGAGGUGUGAUGACGAGGCACUACGGUGCUGAAGUAACAAAUGCCCUGCUUCCAGGAAAAGCCUCUAAGCAUCAGGUAACAUUAAAUCGUACCCCAAACCGACACAGGUGGUCAGGUAGAGAAUACCAAGGCGCUUGAGAGAACUCGGGUGAAGGAACUAGGCAAAAUGGUGCCGUAACUUCGGGAGAAGGCACGCUGGUGUGUAGGUGAAGUCCCUGCGGAUGGAGCUGAGACCAGUCGAAGAUACCAGCUGGCUGCAACUGUUUAUUAAAAACACAGCACUGUGCAAACACGAAAGUGGACGUAUACGGUGUGACGCCUGCCCGGUGCCGGAAGGUUAAUUGAUGGGGUUAUCCGUAAGGAGAAGCUCUUGAUCGAAGCCCCGGUAAACGGCGGCCGUAACUAUAACGGUCCUAAGGUAGCGAAAUUCCUUGUCGGGUAAGUUCCGACCUGCACGAAUGGCGUAAUGAUGGCCAGGCUGUCUCCACCCGAGACUCAGUGAAAUUGAACUCGCUGUGAAGAUGCAGUGUACCCGCGGCAAGACGGAAAGACCCCGUGAACCUUUACUAUAGCUUGACACUGAACAUUGAGCCUUGAUGUGUAGGAUAGGUGGGAGGCUUUGAAGCGUGGACGCCAGUCUGCGUGGAGCCAACCUUGAAAUACCACCCUUUAAUGUUUGAUGUUCUAACGUUGGCCCCUGACCGGGGUUGCGGACAGUGUCUGGUGGGUAGUUUGACUGGGGCGGUCUCCUCCCAAAGCGUAACGGAGGAGCACGAAGGUUAGCUAAUCCUGGUCGGACAUCAGGAGGUUAGUGCAAUGGCAUAAGCUAGCUUGACUGCGAGCGUGACGGCGCGAGCAGGUGCGAAAGCAGGUCAUAGUGAUCCGGUGGUUCUGAAUGGAAGGGCCAUCGCUCAACGGAUAAAAGGUACUCCGGGGAUAACAGGCUGAUACCGCCCAAGAGUUCAUAUCGACGGCGGUGUUUGGCACCUCGAUGUCGGCUCAUCACAUCCUGGGGCUGAAGUAGGUCCCAAGGGUAUGGCUGUUCGCCAUUUAAAGUGGUACGCGAGCUGGGUUUAGAACGUCGUGAGACAGUUCGGUCCCUAUCUGCCGUGGGCGCUGGAGAAUUGAGGGGGGCUGCUCCUAGUACGAGAGGACCGGAGUGGACGCAUCACUGGUGUUCGGGUUGUCAUGCCAAUGGCACUGCCCGGUAGCUAAAUGCGGAAGAGAUAAGUGCUGAAAGCAUCUAAGCACGAAACUUGCCCCGAGAUGAGUUCUCCCUGAGACUUUAAGUCUCCUGAAGGAACGUUGAAGACGAUGACGUUGAUAGGCCGGGUGUGUAAGCGCAGCGAUGCGUUGAGCUAACCGGUACUAAUGAACCGUGAGGCUUAACCUU
rnacentral:rRNA from 1 species